UACGGAGGGUGCAAGCGUUACUCGGAAUUACUGGGCGUAAAGCGCACGCAGGUGGCUGAGUAAGUCGAUUGUGAAAGCCCUGGGCUUAACCUGGGAAUUGCAUUCGAUACUGUUCAGCUAGAGUGUGGGAGAGGGAAGUGGAAUUCCCGGUGUAGCGGUGAAAUGCGUAGAGAUCGGGAAGAACAUCGGUGGCGAAGGCGCUCUACUGGACCACAACUGACACUCAGGGACGAAAGCGUGGGGAGCAAACAGG
rnacentral:rRNA from 1 species